rnacentral:lncRNA from 1 species
CGGUGGCGGCGUGUCCUCCAUCAUCUCCCGCGCCCUCUUCGACCGCAUGCUACUGCACCGCAACGACGGCGCCUGCCAGGCCAAGGGCUUCUACACCUACGACGCCUUCGUCGCGGCCGCCGGCACCUUCCGGGGCUUCAGCACCACGGGCAGCACGGACACCCGGAAGCGCGAGGUGGCCGCCUUCCUGGCCCAGACCUCCCACGAGACCACCGGUGGGUGGGCGACGGCGCCGGACGGAGCCUUCGCGUGGGGCUACUGCUUCAAGCAGGAGCGUGGCGCCACCUCCAACUAUUGCACUCCGAGCGCGCAAUGGCCGUGCGCCCCAGGGAAGAGCUACUACGGCCGUGGGCCGAUCCAGCUCUCCCACAACUACAACUACGGGCCGGCAGGCCGGGCCAUUGGGGUCGAUCUGCUGCGCAACCCAGACCUGGUUGCCACGGACCCGACGGUGUCUUUUAAGACAGCGAUGUGGUUUUGGAUGACGGCACAGGCGCCAAAGCCGUCGAGCCAUGCUGUGAUCACGGGCCAAUGGAGCCCAUCAGGGACGGACCGGGCUGCAGGGCGGGUGCCCGGGUUUGGCGUGAUCACCAACAUAGUUAACGGCGGGAUCGAGUGCGGGCAUGGGCAGGACAGCCGAGUCGCCGAUCGGAUAGGAUUUUACAAGCGCUACUGUGACAUCCUCGGUGUUGGCUAUGGUGACAACCUCGACUGCUACAAUCAGAGGCCCUUCGCUUAACUAAUUAGUUAUAUUUAUAUAACCCCUCCAAACAAAAUACAAUAAGAGCAUCCUCUCUCAUCUAGAUGUUGGAAGUUGUAACUAUGGUUACAUCUCAUAAGGAACUCAAUAAAAGCAUCCAGUAUAGAUGCUUUGUAUUGAGGGCGUGUUUGGUUGAGAAGUCUUAUGACUUUUUCUAGUCCCAGGGACUAAUCAAAAAAGACUCUCUAGUAGAGUCUUUUUCUAGUCCCUGUAGAAAAAGUCCCUCCUGUUUGGUUCCUAGUGACUUUUUCUAGUCUCUGGGACUAAAAAGUCCCUGAACCAAACACCCCCUGAGUUUUACCAAAAAUAUUGGCUCUUGCUUCGAGAUGAACACUAAAUGCUUCUUAAAGAGUUCAAUCAUGGCAAACGUGAUACAUCUAGGUUUAACUAGGUAUGGUGCCUAUGUUACUUAAGGAUCAGGGGCAGAUAAGAUGAUGUCUGGAUCUGUGGAAAUGUAAAACAACUUCGUUGCGCAACACAACCAUGUUCCCCAGUUGCCGAUUCAGAAUCUGUGAUGAUUGAACCUUAGUAACAUCAAAGUCCUCCGCAGAAACGUGAGAUGGUAAACAAGAGUUUGUGCAUCGAUAAAAUAGAACAGAGAAAGAUAUGAGCGUCCUAUGUGAGUAACCAAGAAUAGUAGCAGAAUACAAGAAGUAACAGAUUAAAUUACCUGUCAAAUUGCAACUUUAAUGCAUCAAACUUUGCUCGAAAAGAUCCCAUACUGGUAGUGCACAGAAUAACCACAGUAGGAGAAGCAGCGAAGCAAAGAAAUUACGUGAAUGCAAGAGAACAGAAAGUAUUGGAUGAAAGAAAAUGACACAACAGUGGCGAUGUAGAAUAGGAAGAAGAGUUCGUCAGACAAGAGGAAGGAGAUGAACAGCAAGCAAAGAAGUAAACAUAUAAGGUCCACCCAUAGUCAAAGAAGGAAUAGGGCAAUAGUUCAUACGGCAUAUAUGUAUGAGACCGACAUGCAUAAUCAACCAUAUUUCGACGUAUUCACAACAUAUAUCAAUUACAAGUGGUUUUUCACGAUUUUUCAGUGCACACAAGUGCACGACUCACGGCGCAAAAGGACAAAAAUGCUACACGUACAGGCACAUUGUACAUGUUUUUAUAGGUUGAAGGACUGCACGCUCCUCUAAUUGCCCCCCCCCCCCCUAUUUUCACCGGUGGGCCUGUGCGUCUUAAUCAAUCCACGGCCAAUCAAUGUUAAGCAACCUGUAAAACCCCCGUAUAAGUCCGUACGUCUACCAAAGUUGGCAAAAGGACGCACGUGUGUGCCCUCGCACUUGGACCCAAAUGCGGGUGCGGUUCUCUGUCCAUUUGUUUCAAUGGAUAAAGAGUCAAUUACACCGGUGGUGCUUGAACUUGGCGCAAACGGUCACUUUGGUGCUAGAACUUGCGGCAUACAUCGAACUGGUGUAACAAGUUGGCUCGGGCGUGCAAAUACGAUGCAAACCUUGGCUGUGUACGCCCGAGCCGCUGAUUAGGCGCGCCAACAUAGGAUGGGUCCCGCCGUCAGUGACCCGAAGGCAGACAGGAGGGCGUGUGGCCAUUUUUUGCGUAAACCCUCUUGAAUUAUUAUUUUCCCACAAAAAGGCACUGUCGACGUUGGAAGAUGGCAUUUCAUUUUUUUCGACUCUAUAGCCAGUGGGCCCUGUGUGUACAUACUGAGAAUUAUUACCAAGAAAAAACGGAGGCCUCCACGUCUCGAACGUGCGACCCUUGCCCAUGUCACAGUCUGGCUGCUACACCAUUUAGUCUUCACAACUUCAGAUAAAUUUUUGUAUUCAUCAAUUUGAAUAUUAAAUAUAAGCAGCACAUGUGUAUUUUUCUAUUAAAUAAACAUUUUAAAUGUCCAUAUUUAAUUAACAAUUUUAUAUAAUAGAUGUGUGUAUGUUUAAAUAUUUUUGUCUACUAAUCAUUGUUUGUAUGUCUAACAUUUAUAAAAAAUAAAUAUUUGAACAUUAUUUUAAUUACUUACAUUUCACAAAUAUUUCAAAAAGAAUUAGCGCGUGCAAAUGGGUUGCACUAUCUGCAGCCAAUUUAAGCCCCACAUGUAUCUUCCUUAUACUACAUUAACAGUUGUUAUCCUUGUUAGACAUCAGAAUGUAAUUGAUGCAGUGGCUAUGAGCACGAGCGCCCUAACAGUAGGUCGUCGUGUUGAAUUCUAAAAAAAAGGUCACGUGUUGGAGUGUAGGAGUCUAACAUAUUCCCUUUUAAUUCCAGCAAAAAAAACAUUUUCCCUUUUAAUUUUCACGUCGGGACUCACCUGUCAUAGAACAAACAAAAUAAAAUACCAUCUACCACGUGGAUAGGGUCUUUUUUGUGAGAAAUAAAAAAUGUCGAGGUUUUUCUGCAAAAGGAAAAAAACAGGUCACGCACUUCUAGUCUUUGACAAAGGGCCCCACGCCACGCUGGCGGCCAAGUCAGCGUUGAUUUCGUAUCCAAGUGCGGUUAGCACUAUAUUUGCACACCCGAGUCAAGUUAUUGCACCAGUUUAAUGUAUGCCACAAGUUCUAGCAUCAAAGUGACCGUUUACGCCAAGUUCAAGCACCACCAGUGUAAUUGACUCAUGGAUAAAUGAUAAACUCUGGAAAGGGAAAAUAGGAAUUGCGUUCCAUGGACGUCCGUCCAUGAAUGCAUUGCGUCGUCUAUGGACUAAAAUUCCACAUGCGUGCAUACUAGCACACGCUCUGGAUCAUACAUGGCCAGCUGCUCACCGCUGUACCUCUCGACCGUAUCUAAGCUGCCAAAAUUGAUCCGUCGAUGGCAUGACGAUGUCGCCCUGGAAGAAAGCUCACGAGGAGGUAGAUGGAUAGACACAGGGUCGAUCAUGGCGAUCGAGUAGCGCGCGACACCGAUAUAAAGACGUGCACUCCCCAGCGCUUCUCCCACAACACUACACCUGCACCAGAUAGCGGUCAAGUACUCUGCUUCGUUGCCACGCACGAUGAGAUCGCUUGCGGUGGUGGCCGUGGUGGUAGCCACGGUGGCCAUGGCCAUCGGCGCCGCGCGCGGCAGCGUGUCCUCCGUCGUCUCCCGCGCACAGUUUGACCGCAUGCUACUGCACCGCAACGACGGCGCCUGCCAGGCCAAGGGCUUCUACACCUACGACGCCUUCGUCGCCGCCGCAGCUGCCUUCCCGGGCUUCGGCACCACCGGCAGCGCCGACGCCCAGAAGCGCGAGGUGGCCGCCUUCCUGGCACAGACCUCCCACGAGACCACCGGCGGGUGGGCGACCGCACCGGACGGGGCCUUCGCCUGGGGCUACUGCUUCAAGCAGGAACGUGGAGCCGCCUCCGACUACUGCACCCCGAGCGCCCAGUGGCCGUGCGCCCCAGGGAAGCGAUACUACGGCCGCGGGCCCAUCCAGCUCUCCCACAACUACAACUACGGGCCUGCUGGCCGGGCCAUCGGGGUCGAUCUGCUGAGCAACCCGGACCUGGUGGCAACCGACCCCACAGUGUCGUUUAAGACGGCGAUGUGGUUCUGGAUGACGGCUCAGGCGCCAAAGCCGUCGAGCCAUGCUGUGAUCACGGGCCAGUGGAGCCCCUCAGGGGCAGACCGGGCCGCAGGGCGGGUGCCCGGGUUUGGUGUGAUCACCAACAUCAUCAACGGUGGGAUCGAGUGCGGGCACGGGCAAGACAGCCGCGUCGCUGAUCGGAUCGGGUUUUACAAGCGCUACUGCGACAUCCUCGGCGUUGGCUACGGCGACAACCUCGACUGCUACAACCAGAGGCCCUUUGCUUAAUUAAUUAGUUAUGUAUAAUCUUGGCCCUGGGCAAAAUACAAUAAGAGGGUCAUCUCCUAUCUACAUGUUGUAAGAUGUAACUAUGGUUACCUUUUAUGCGGAACAUAACAAAGGCAUCUCGUAUGGAUGCUUUGGUACGGAAUCUUACCAACAAUAUUGGCUCUUGGUAUGAAAUGAACACUAUACGCCUUUUAACGAGUUCAACAAUGGCAAUAGAGAUGCCUCAACAUUUAAGUAGGUACUAGGAAAUAUGCCCGUGCGCUUGCGAUGGGAGAAAAAUAAUCAGAUUAUGCAGAUGUGGUAGAGAUAAAAAAAAGUCCGAAUCAAAUGUCAGGAUGAGAUAAGGACUUUUAAAAUAUCAUUUCAAAAACUAUGCCUGGAUGUCAUGAUGAGAUAAGGCACUUUUAAAGUCAUUUUAAAAAUUAAAAUGUGAUGGCCUCAUAAUGACUUGAUUUCCUAAGGCACCACAAUGAAAUACUUUUUGGCUGAGCAAACUACAUUGACGGACCAUGCCUGAGCUAUACUGAUGAAUGAUGUGUCUCGUCUUGGCCUAGCGUACUGGUGUUUUUCAUAACGAGUAAAACUAUCGUACCAAAAUAAACAUAGUUGUGUAUGGAGGCAAAUUAACAUUUAGUCAUUUUUAUAUAGUUUACCAAAACGAACCCAUAUAAAGUUGUGUGAAUUUUUUGGGCUCAGCGCUGCUCAGAAAAAGGAAACCUUUUACUUACUCUGAAGCAUGAGACUAAAUAAAAUCGUAAAAACGACCUCUACAGAGCCCCUAAUAAAACCUCUACAUAAGUGACGGUUUGUUUUUUUCGUUAUUUACGGAACUGUUUCAAUUUUUUUAAAUUUCAUAGACAUUUUUUCAGAUUACUGAACAUCUUUUGAAUACCAUAAUUUCUAAAAAAUCAUGAACAUUUUUAGUUUCACAAACAUUUUAGUUAUGUAUAAUUUUGGCCCUGCACAAAAUACAAUAAGAGCAUCAUCUCCUAUCUACAUGUUGUAAGAUGUAACUAUGGUUACCUUUUAUGCGGAACAGAACAAAGGCAUCUUGUAUGGAUGCUUUGGUACCGAAUCUUCCCAACAAUAUUGGCUCUUGGUCUCAUAUGAACACUAUACGCCUUUUAAAGAGUUCGACAACGGCAAUAGAGAUACCUCAACAUUUAAGUAGCUAUUGUGCCUGUGUUACUUUAUGUUUUUUAAUUGAACUAAAACAACAACACGAGUUAUGGAAUGGAGGGAGUAGCUUAUUUGGUUUGGUUGGUUUGGACCCUACUAUUUAGUCUUUGUUUUACUUUUUUUAAAUACCAUGAGCAAAAAAUAUUUCUUAUAAAAAUGAGAAAAACAUAAAAAUAUAUAAUUCCUAUGAAUACAAAAAAAUGUCAUGCUACUUUAUAAAACUGCCAUGUUAAUUUAAUAAAAUUCCAUGAAUAUUGCUUUGCUUUAUUUGGUCCAUUGUACAAAAAUCCAUAAAAAUGCCAUGUCAGGGAAAAAUAAAACUGCCAUGCCAAUAAAAAUAAAUUGCCAUCCUCUUUCUAAGAAAAAAAAUGUCAUCCUCUUGAUAACAAAAAUGCCAUGCCAACAAUAAUAAAAUGUUAGGCUCUCAAUAAUAAUACCGCCAACUUGUUAAUAAUAAAACUGCCAUCCUCCUAAUAAUACAAAUUCCAUACCCUUAAUCAUAAAAAUGCCAUGCUAUUAAUCAUAAAAUUACCAUCCUCUUGACAAUAAAAAUGCAAUGCUCUUAGUAAAUAAAAAUGCCAUCUUGUUAAUAAUUUAAAUGCCAUGGUAUUAUUUAUUAAAAUGCCAUGCUCUUAGUAAUAAAACUGCCAUGUAGAACUUAAGAUUACUGCCAUGUUAUUCAUGGCAUUUUUUUUGGAAAUUAUACAUGGCAAGUUUAGAAAAAAAAACCUGGAUGACAUUACAAACAAGACCUAUAAAUAAAAAUGCACAUGGCAAGUUUAGAAAAGAGGUAAUUUCGCCGGGAGUCACACAACUUGCGCCACAUGUUCAGGUUGGUGCUAAAAUCUUAAAAAUACGAUUUUAUGGUCACCUAACUUGGCUCAGUUGUGCAGAUACAAUCAUAAUAUACAUAUGCGGAAGUAUCCAUUGUGUAUGACCCCACUGUCAGUGACCGAUUACGCUGGGCCGAUUUAUUUUUGCACAAAACAUCCUGAUAUUUUUUAUUUUACAAAAAGAUCAACCACCGUGAUUUUUAUUUAUGAGAAAACUGUACAUAUAAGCGGAAAUUAACACAAAAAAUGGUUCCACCAGAUCUCGUACCCACGACCAACCAGUAUACAACAACACAUACUAGCGAGUACGACCCUUCAAUUCUUGGUGUCUGAUAUGGAUAACGAACCUAUAUGGACUAAACGGGACGCAUGUAGACCUUAACCCAUUUUACACGCGCUGUUCCUUGGAUAUAUUUGUAAAACAUAAGUAAUAAAGUUAUGUUUAAAUAUUUGUGCAUUAAAAAUAUUAUACAUACAAACGAUGAUUAGUAAGUAAACUUUCAAAUAUAAACAUGUGCAUCAUAUAAACAAGUGUUUUAUACAAAUGUGUGUAUACAUAUUUAGUUUUCAAAAUUACAAUUCAAAAAAAUAUUUUAUUCAUGCAAACACUUAAAUAAUUAUAUGCACAUUUGUAUAGUUUAAUGUUUGUACAAUUAAAACUAUUCAUAAUUUAAAAUUUAAAUUGUUAAUAUGAUGUUCAAUCAUGGAUAAUAAAUAAAUUAUGUAUUUAUCUUAAUAUAAGUCAUGAGUAAAAAAUUAUACAUAAGUGAAUAUUCAAAAUUAUCUAGUUAAUGUUUCUAUUCAUAAUUUUGUAUAAUUUAAAUAUAAGCCGCAAGUGUNNNNNNNNNNNNNNNNNNNNNNNNNNNNNNNNNNNNNNNNNNNNNNNNNNNNNNNNNNNNNNNNNNNNNNNNNNNNNNNNNNNNNNNNNNNNNNNNNNNNNNNNNNNNNNNNNNNNNNNNNNNNNNNNNNNNNNNNNNNNNNNNNNNNNNNNNNNNNNNNNNNNNNNNNNNNNNNNNNNNNNNNNNNNNNNNNNNNNNNNNNNNNNNNNNNNNNNNNNNNNNNNNNNNNNNNNNNNNNNNNNNNNNNNNNNNNNNNNNNNNNNNNNNNNNNNNNNNNNNNNNNNNNNNNNNNNNNNNNNNNNNNNNNNNNNNNNNNNNNNNNNNNNNNNNNNNNNNNNNNNNNNNNNNNNNNNNNNNNNNNNNNNNNNNNNNNNNNNNNNNNNNNNNNNNNNNNNNNNNNNNNNNNNNNNNNNNNNNNNNNNNNNNNNNNNNNNNNNNNNNNNNNNNNNNNNNNNAAUACACGAGUUUAUAUUGAAAUGUUUUUAUUUAUGAAUCAUAUUUUUGAAUUAUAGUAUUUCUAACACAAAAGAAUUUGAACAUAAUUUUAUUACUUAUGCUUUACAAAUAUCCUAAAUAUUUCCUUUACUUAUGUGUUACUAAAUAUUUUAUAUAUGAUACACAGGUUUAUAUUUAAAUAUUUUUAUUUACUAAUCAUCAUUUGUAUGUAUAAUAUUUUUAACACACAAAUAUUUGAACAUAAUUUUAUUACUUUUUUAGACAACAUAACUUUAUUACUUAUGUUCUAUAAAUAUCUUACAAAUAAUAGCGCGCACAAAACGGGACACAGAUCCGCAACCCAAUUAAACUCCACACAGUUUUUGUGUAUAUACAACUUCUUAUCCAGAGUACACAAGACUACCUGAAGUGCCUGGUGGCUACACCAGCAGUGUUUAAACUGGUUGUUGCGGGUUCAAGUCCAUCUGAUGUAUCUUUUUUAUGCUAAUUUUCGCAUAUACGUGCACUACUGUGGUCCAGUUUUUCUGUAAGUAAAAAAAGUGAGAGGGUAUUGUGUACAAAUUUGUCGCUAUUUUUGACUUUUUCUCCAAAUAAAAAAAUGAGGGUGUUCUGUGUAAAAAUACAUCGCCGCCUAAUGCCCUCACUCGCUGCUAAGUGGGGCCAUACACAUGGAUACGCCCGCAUACGUGUAUAGCGUGACCGUAUCCGCAUGCUUGAGUCAAGUUAGGUGACCACAAAAUCGUAUUUUCAAAAUUCUAGCACCAAACUGAACAUGUGACACAAGUUCUAUGACUUCCGUUGAUAUUACCUCUUUAGAAAAAAUCUAUUUAAAAAUAGGGAAAUUUUGUUCUUUGAAAACUGAAAAAAAUCUGGAUUGCAUUUUAAAAGGAAAAAAAUCAAUUUAAAAUAAUUUAGCUUCAAACACAUAAAAACAAGUAUAGUACAUCUAUUCACAGAACCUGUUGCAACCCAACUGGUAAGCGUGUCACGCCUCUUCAGCCGAUCUACAUGGCAUUGUCAUUGCGUCAAGAUACGUGCAACAACGAUCGGGUCAUUUGCUGGGGUUGGCCUCCCAGGGAACGGGUGCCAGAGAAAAUUUUCCUCUGGUACAUAAAGCACCCUGCUAGUCUAAGAAUUUUCACAUGAAAAGAGACCGAAUACAAACUUGCCAGAAUAAUAUGUACACAAAUGGAAACACAGAAAAGACAUUGCAUGAGAAUCUCAACACAAAUAGGGCCCUAGUACCAUUGGACUGCACGUCCAUUUCUUAAAUGAAUAGUGUCUAUAGGUCCAUCAGAGCAUAAUCAUUAUUUUUAGGACACUCAUAAGUUUCAAACGUUCGGGAUUUGCCCAUGGCAAAUCAAACAUUUUUCUAGGGGCAAUUUAUAUACGCGAGGGAUGGCAAGUUUAUAGUUUGUAAACAUGGCAAUUCUGUCCCCAAUUUGUUUUAUUGCCAGGAAAUUGCCUUGCUUGUCAACUAAAUUUGCUAUAAAAACAUUCGAUUUGCCAUGGAAAAAUCCUGAAUGUUCGAUAUUUAUCAUUUCCGAAUUUUUAUCGAUAAACAACAGAAAAUAAUGCCUGCACAAAAUAAGAGUGUGCUCUUCCAUCCUUUAAAAUGUGCAAACCACUCAAUUUUGAUUUUUUUUAACCCCGAACCAGGUUCAAUUUCUGGCUUCAGAGUAUGCAAACAAUAAAAAUGCUACACGUUUCUAAAUCGAAAAUUGCACCUAAUAGUGUACAUUUAUGCCAACACCCAUCUGUACAUUUAUAAACCAAGUGUACAUUUAUGCCAACACCCAUCUGUACAUUUAUAAACCAAAAUUGUACAUUUAUGCCAACACCCAACACAAUUUUAUAAUGAGCAAACUAAUAAAGACAAAAAAAUACUAACUAAAAAAUUAAUGUAACAAAUAUAAAUAAUCAAAUAUCUUUAAAACACAAAUACAUAUCUUCUUUGGUUUUAGAUUUUUAGUACAUAAAGCAUUCCAGUCCAAGAAUCCUCACAUGGAAGACGGAAUACAAACUAGCCAGAAUAUGUAAUAUUAGGUGCCAAAUAGAAACACAGAAAAGACAUUUCACACCAGCAAAAAAAGAAAAUACAUUUAACAAGAAUCGCACCACAAAUAAAAAAGCUUGAAGGGUUCAUAACCUAAACACACCAGCAUAACCGAAGUUGGGAUUAUUUUGUCUAAUCUGUAUGCAACUAUGCAUACAAAUGGAAGAAAAUAUAUGUGAUCACACUCCUUUACUUAUUUUGUUUCUACUAGGAUUAUAUCCAAAAUGCACGCACGUCAAAAUCCUUGACAUCGCUGGGUGUGAGGUAGGAUCGACCAGGCCAGUACGGCGAAUAGCGGGGAUGUAAGGUAUGACCGACUAGGCCAGAGCGGCGCAGCCACGAGCUCGCCGUUCCUUCCAUACCUGAUGCGGCACAUGGUCACGCGGAGCAGGCAGUCGUCGCCGUCGCCGUCGGCUUUGGAGCGGCUGGAGCUGACACCCUUGCGCCAGGCCCGCUCGACCAGGCAAAACGGGCCUCUGCCACCUGUGUGGAGGAGCACAGCACGCCCCGUACUCUUAAGCUUGGGCUCCAGGAACGUCAGCUUCUCUGCGGCAAGACUCCAGCGAGGCACCGGCGGCGGGCAGACUCCGUCGACCAGCUUCUCCUCUUCCACCUCUUCAUCCUCCUCCCCUUCAUCCUCCUCUUCAUGGGUCCCUUCAUCCUCCUCCUCUUCCUCCUCAUUCCUGAUCAGGUCCGGGACGUCAUAGGAGCAGAGGUGCUCGUGCUCGUCAUUGCGGUAGCCUUGGCCGUCGCGGGCGGCGUGGGUCUUCCCGACCCACGCGCCCAGGUCACCGUCGUAGUGCGCCUGGGCGCCUGGCCUUCGAACGGCAGGUACCAGGUGCCGUACUGCGUCCAGCUCCAGCACCCCCACUCGCUCUGCGUGUCCAGCGCGAAGGUCCCCAGCUGCUGCACGCUCUGCCGCUCCGGAUCCUUCUUGCCACCCUCUUGCUCCGGUUCUUCCUCCACAAAGCCGGUGCGGUAGUCGCCGGAGCGGCGCCUGACGGAGACGAAUAUAGUGCGCCCGUCCGGGUGCAAAGCGCACGCCGAGACAUAGCUGUCCUUGUAGGGGGUGAAGGGCUCUGUGGGGCCGGGGCCAACCUCCCAGUGGGGCACGGCGUACUCGUCCAAGUUGAGCAUGCUGCUGCUCUUGGAAUCCAAGGUGUACAGAUUGUUGCCUGCGGCCACGGCGUGGUGGCAGCAACCAUCUCCGUGCGGGGGGUCUCUGUUCCCAGUGCGCAGCGUCGCCGUCUCCGUGUCAUACACGAGGGUUAGGCCGUCGCCGUCGUCGGUGGUCACGACAACGUUGCUGCCCAGGGCGUGGAAGCCUGGGUUUGUGCCGAUCGAGCGGGAGUCGAAGCGGAGGAUCGGAUCGGGGAGGCGCCGUGGCUCCACGCCACCGUCGUCGCCGCCGCCGACCAGCUCCCCCGAGCUGAUCUUAUGCAGGGAGAAACCGUGCUUCCAGUCAUCCAGAACAACGUACAGAUGCCGCCGCCGCUGCUCCUGUUCCGCGCCGCAACUGUUGCACAAGUGCGGCCAUGUUUCCGCGGGCACCGGCGGCACCGGGUCGCGAUGUGAUUUACCGGCAUCGGCCGAGGCGUAUGCACGCCAUGUACCGCCCAGCACAAGGGACUGCCGGUGUGCGGAUGCAGGGCGCCGGAGACGGGAGAGAAGCGCAAGCGGCGGCAGAGAUCGAGCGAGCCACAUUGCGUGCGUGUGUGUAGCUCGCUAGGGUUCUGGGUGAGGUUCGUUUGGGUUUAUCCUCUUUUAUUAAGUGUAAAUGGCCUAUAUGUUAGCCCAACUUAUUUAGUAACCUUGGCCCAAAAGUACUGCCUCAAUUAAUUAAAAUUUGAUUACAAAUUAGACCAACCAACAUGAUAUCAUAAAUAAGACUAACCAAAUUUAGAUUAUAGUAAUAUAUGAAAAAAUUUAUACCAUUAAAUUAUUAUUCAAAAAGUUUUUCGUAAUAUAUAUUUUGAAGUAAAAAAUAAUACACUAUAGUUCUAAUUUAUUGGAAUGGAAGGACUAUGUAAAUUCAUGAUCUGGACCUGGUCCAUAUCAUCUCGACUCCAAAGUUUAGCAAAACCACAUCACUUAAAAUUUCAAAAAUUAUGAGGAAACAUUAUGCAUAUAUAAAAAAGAGAGAAGUCCACUUUACAACACCGAACUAUUCCAUUUGUAAAAUUUGACCCAAACAAUUUCAACCCCUUUUGGUGAAAAAAUUCCAACAAUAAAAGUAUCUAGAAAUUUUUGACAUAAUUCUGUAAACUCAAGACUAAUAUAAUGGUCAUUUUGGGAAACUUUCAAAUGUUUAUGCCAACAAAUUUAAACAUAAUACGAAAUUACAAUUUUGGACCCUUUUUGGCCAUUUUUAUUUAAAAAAAAUGUAAGUAUGACAAAAAUUUGGAAGAAAUUCUCUAAAAAUCAAGAAUAGUACUGAUAACUCUAUGCAAGUUUGAGAUAUUUUGCACGGACAGAUUAAAAAAACCAUGAAAUUACAAUUUCUUGUCCAAAUUUUGUCAAAAAUACUGUCCAGGAAAAAAUGAAAUAAUUUUGUGAACUAAAUACUAAUAUAUUGAUCAUUUGGUGAAGGUUUUAGAUGUUUUGGCCAAACAGAUUUUAAAAUAUCCUAAAAUUAUUUUUUCUGUCCUAUUUUAGUCCAUGUGCCGACGCCGUUGCUGAUUGGGAUCCGACUGUAUGGUCAACGGGUCAUAAUCCGACAUGCUCGCCAAAAUCAGGGCCAGAUUUUUUUUUGCAGAGUGCGGUGUUGAUUCUUAGCCGGUUUUAGAGUUGAGGCUUCAUUCUUGGACAAACCGAAUAGUUGAGGGUUUUAAGUGGACUUCUCUACAUAAAAUAGAUAAUAUAAAACAUGAAGCAGGUUCCAAAAUUCCCUCUACAAAAACUAUUACCAGUUAUUUCCCAACAAAGAUCAAGCCGUGGAACCUAGUCUAUAAUUUCGACAAAUUACAAAUCAGAUUCGACAUAAUAAUAGCUAAAAUUAUGUGGAAUUUUGCCAGAAACUGUAUUACAUACAUGAGCAAUUACUCACAUAUUUGCAAAGUAUGUGUGACUUACACAUCUCAGUGACCCUACUAAGUCUGUACAUAUUAGCACAUGGCCUAUGUAACUUCCCAAUGAGGAAGCCUAACAAGAUAUCAGAUUCGUAAUGUAGACUGGCUUUUUUAGCGAUAAGAACCUAGAAUGAAGUUUGUUAAAAAGAGACCAACCCGACUAGCUCGACUAGGUGAAACUAUUGAUUACGAUUGUGUGAGUAACACUUAACGGUACACGAGAUGUUGCAAUGUGUCUCGGAUUGAGGUGUUCACUUUAGGGGGAAAAAGUAUACAUUUUUUUUACUAGGGCACGGAGACAAUAAGAGAAAUUUGGCUCAAAUUCAGACAUACAAUUAUGUGGAAAAAUAUAGAUUACGAAUGUGUGGGUAACACUUUGCUAGCAACCGCUAAUUAAAUUGGAGAUAAUCACUUUGAAUAAAUUGUUUCUUUGCUAUAGAUAGUAACGAGGUAACUGUACUCCAUGGACGCCGUACAUUUUUCUUGGCCAUAGAUAGUAACGAGGUAACUGUAUUCCAUGGACGCCGUCCAUGAAUGCCUGCCCAUGCGUCAUCUAUCUAUUUUUCUGUCAUCCAUGCAUACAAACUUACAAACACAGACGCUCUCGAUCAGCUCACCCCUCGGCCGUAUCGGAGCCGCCAGGUUUGAUUGCUGCCUAGUUCUUGCAACACGAGCGCGACACAUAUAUAUAAAAACGUGAGAUUCCCCACCGCUUCUGGCACGUACACACACUUGCACCAGCCAGCGGCCAACCGAGCUGUGUGUACGAUGAGAACGCUCGCGGUUGUGUCCGUGCUAGCCACGGCGGCCAUGGCCAUCGCCUGCGCGCGUGCCGCACAGUGCAGUUCGCAGGCCGGCGGGGCGACCUGCCCGAACUGCCUCUGCUGCAGCCGCUUCGGCUGGUGCGGCUCUACCGCGGAGUACUGCGGUGACGGCUGCCAGAGCCAGUGCUCUGGCUGCGGCACGCCCGGCUCCUUUGGUGGCGGCGUUUCCUCCAUCAUCUCCCGCUCACUCUUCGACCGGAUGCUGCUGCACCGCAACAACAGGGCGUGCCAAGCUAAGGGAUUCUACACCUACGACGCCUUCCUAGCGGCCGCGGCCGCCUUUCCGGGCUUCGGCACCACGGGCGGCACCGCCACCCGAAAGCGUGAGGUGGCCGCCUUCCUAGCGCAGACCUCCCAUGAGACCACCGGCGGG